GUCUCCUUUGUCCAGUUUCUUCCGAGUUCUCCUUAUUUAUUUGACCAAUGUUUUUACCAAUCAGUCUCUCUCAGAAUUAUCUUUCUGAACACUCCUGUCUUCUGCAAAUAUUUUUCUCUAGUCUUUCAUCCUUUUGCAGAAAGAGUACAGUAGAGAGAUGAAAAAGAAAAUGAAAAUGAAAAAGAAAACCACUAUGCACUAAGUAAGAGGGAGAGGUGGGUGCUUUAUUUGUUGUUAUUUGUGGGUAUUUCAUCUCUCUAAAAAAUAUAUAGGAAAAUGGAGCAAGAUGAUUAAUUAAGAAGAAAUGUGUUAGAUUUGGUGAGAUUUUAUGGUCGCAUUCUGUCUCUGACUCUCAUGAAGACAAUGACCCUUCGCCUUUCGUCCAUCCUUCCUUUCUUUUAAGAAACACUUCUCAUUCUCCGCUUCUUCUCUGCCCUUUUACUUUCUCUACUUUCUUUCUUUCUCCUUUUCUUUCUUUUUUUUUUUUUUUAAUCCAGAAUUUCAAUCAUAUUUAUGUAAUUUGCCUUCUUAAAAAAAACCCAUAUUUUUCCUUUUUUUUCGCAUGGAAUUUUGUUUAGUGUCUUUUUUCUUGCUUGUAAGUUGUGACCCAUAAAAUUUGAGAUGCGGUUGGUGUAUCAAAUAUUGAAUGAGUAGAUUUAGUGCUGAUUCUUUAGUCCCUUUAAUAUUUAAAGGUGUAUUUUUACAUUUUUACGCAUCAUUUUUUACUCCCUCUCUUGGAGUAUUGGUGUUAGUUUCUUGAGUUUGGAAGGAUUAUAAAUUUUAUAAUGUACUACCAUUUGUCAAGGUUAAAAUUUAAAGGCAACGGUGGUGAGAAUCAAACCUCUAUGAGGUUAAAUCCUUUCAAAUGAUGAAAGGAAAGCGUUAAACUUUUAGCCACUUCAUUAAUCAAAGUAGGAGUAAGACUUUGAUGUCUCUCUUUCUCUUUGUGUUUAUGUGUUUGUGUGUAAUGAAGUGAGAAGUGGGGUUCAUUAUGUCUCUUCUAGUCACCUGCAGGCUGUUUAUGUCUUAUCAUUUACAAUCUCUAAAUGCAUGGCUGUAAAUUUGUGUUUUUUCUAUUUUCUUUUUGUGAUUUCUGCUCCCCAUGAUAUUUUUGGUAACUUGAUAUAUCCCUCUCCUAUCCUUUUGCAUGUUCUUUUCAAACUGGGUUUAUUUUACUAGGACUAUAUUAUAAAACUAAGCUUAAUUUUCUCUUUUUGUACAAGAAUUAAUAUAUGACUUGUUAAUGAAAUAUUCUGAUUAGGGUUAGGGUUUUUUUUAGUGAACUAUCUAUCCAGGAGUUCUCACUUCUCAUGAUCUUGGGUUGUCUUGUUUGUUGAAUGUCACAUGUGUUCUUUGUUAGUUCUUGUAUUUAUCACAUGAUUUCCAAGUUCAUUUUUUGUUAAUUCAUCUUGUUAUUAAAGGUGCCAAAAUUUCAAUCUUUUGGGAUUAAGUAUUUGAAAUUGUUGUUGUUCUUUAUUAUUAGGAAGAUUGAUACCGUGAACCAUUAAAUCUUAUGCUAGGGUAGUCAUUUAAUAGCGUUAGUAUAAUGACAUAGUUGAAUUAGUCAUGGUUUAGAAUAAACCUUUACACAUUAUAUCUUCAUUUUUGUUUGAAAUAACAUUUUUAGUCUUUGAUCGAUUAAAACAUUAAUUUUUCUAUUCAAUUACAUUGUGUACUUUUGUUGAUUUGCAGUUGACAUUUUCUACACUCUACUUAAUUUUAAUUGAAUGGACGUUUACAUCUUUUUAUUCUAUUCAAACAUAGUACUCUAUGUGUAGUUGCAAUUGACUAUUUCUCGUCUUAAUUUGAUUUUCAAUAAUGGAUGAUUAUUUCUUCCUUCAUAGUUUAUCUUCCGAAUAUCUUCUGUUGUGUUAGUCUUUCCCUCAAUCUAAUCGGUGAGUAAAACGAAGCUAAUAUCGAUCUAAGUAAAAUAAUUAUGUAUGAUCUGAUUGCAUGUACAAGGUUUCCUCAAUUGAUUUAUAAGAGAGCUUCCUUCAGCCCACUCAUGGACGGGAAAAGGGGGUUUUGAAUUAUCUGCCGACUCAUUCGUUCAAACACUGGGUAGAUAUCUGAUCUGAGAAUUAUGCAAGGAGGUGCUACUGUGAUUGCAUGAAUGAUGCGGGAGAUAAUUUCAUCCCUCUCUUUCUAUGCUUGGACUGAAGGGAGCUCCCUUUCUCUAUUCACUUUAUUCUUGCAUUUUACAUAUAUUUCAACUUCAUUACAUUUCUUUGCGAUGCGAUUGUUGUUCCACAUCAUUGAUUUGGCUUUAAGAACCCUAUUUCUCCCGUGUUGACUCGCAUUUUCAUUACUAAUCUAAUGCCAUUUAAUGAUCCCGCCUAGGCAUGAUUCUCGUUAUAGAAAAUGCUAGGUUAUUAUAUUAAUAAUGAGAAAUCAAAGAACUAUGAAUCUGAGAAGGGACUUGCAUUGUCUGUAACAGAUUAUUAUGUUAUUAUCUUUUGGAAGUUUUCAGCUUUUGUGAUCUGCCAAUGCAUGCAUUGUGGAUAACUUGGUCUACUCUCAGAUUAUGGAAUUGAAUAAAUUUUGCGUCAUAGUACUCAGAUCAAGGUUUCUUGCAAUUUGACAACCGACUCCUGUUAAAAUACGAAACGAGUUUACAAGCUGACUAACGAAACCUGAAGAGCUCAACUCAGGUAACACAGGAGGAGUAUUCAAGUAUUGGCCUCGUGAAGCCGACAUUUGCUCUUUGAUCAACAGAUGAAAUCUGAUUCAUUUUCUGAUAAAAAGAACAGACUUAAUUAAUACAGUUUAAGUAUGAUAUUGUGAUAAUCUUAACAGUAAUUAUUGGUUAGUUUAAUAAUAAUGUUGAGGAGUUGAGAUUCUUGUGGGUACUUUUAAGCAUCAAAUGGUGAGUUCAUUGGGUUCUCCAAGGAUGAAAGUACAACUCUAACAAUUUUUAUUUUUCUCUUAUAUCGCGCCCAUGUCUUUGUGUUUUGCUUUAUUAUUAUUUUUUCUUUGUUCAAACUAUGCGGCAUUUUUUGUCAAUAUUUUAAUUACUUUGUUAAUUUCUACUCUCUCCAUCUCAUUCAAAAUGCAAGAUAUUUCUUAUAAAACACACAUUGGGAAGUUAAAUGUCCCAUUCUCAAUGGGGAAGUGAGAGUAUUCAUAUUUGCCAAAAAAAGGAUGAUUGUUACUCGUUGGUUUAUGUUCUCUUUUGGAAACAAGGCUUAGUUUGAAAAACUAGAAUUAAAUACAAGCAAUUACUAGUAUUUUAUUCAUCUUGCUUUCUUCAUAGAAUAAAUAAAUUAGAUAUAUAAUUCUAUGUGAAAAUUGUAUUAUCAUGUUCAUUUGUUUAAUUCAAUCUUAAAUUUUGAUUUAUAUAGCUAACUUUAUAUUGUUGGGAUUAAGGUUUUGUUGUCGAUUUUGUGUGCUUUAGUGCUGGUAUUUCCAGUAAGGUACUAACUAUGAUAUAUUCAGGUCGGGUAGUUUUUGAUUUGAAAUGGUGUAAAUUUUGUUUCACGGAUUCUUGUGUGAAAAAGUCUUAUUGGGAGAUGUUUUGUAUUUAUGGGCUAGUAGCCCAAAUAAUACAAUUAUUAACAUAAGAACCCUUUUAAUUUGAGGCCGUCACACUGAGAAACGGUCUUUCACAAGAGUAGUUCAUUUUGUUUUGGUGAUGAGCGAUGUUUUGUGUGAAUCUGCCAAAUGAUAAAUGGUUACGAGUUUAAAUUAUUACAAAUUAGUAAUGCGAAAUAUAAAUUACAAAUCAAAAUCAAAGUUGAAGAGAAAUAUAAUUCAAUGCUCAUUUAUCAAAUAAGAUAAAAAGAUAAAAUAGAAGUUGGAUAGCAGCCAAAGCCGAGUCCUCCACAGGAAAGCCGAGUUGGCUUCCUGUUGACUUGGUUGUCCAAUUUACCUUUUAUCUUUCCCUUUGAUCCUUUUUGGGUUUUGUACUUUAAUAUAUUUUUUUUUAACUAUUAUUUAUAGUACUUAGUGAUAUUUCUUAGGAUUUAAUAUAUACUAAAUGUCAAACAUAAAUUUCUAUUUACUCCUUUUAAGAGGAACCUUUAGCCUCAUGUACAAGAAAGAGUUAGAUAGUGUACAACAUAUUUUAAGGUUUAUGUUGGCCGACAAUUUAGAUUAGUCAGCUCUAAUAUUUAACAAUUCAAAAGAAUAUAGUUUGAUUUGAAAUGAAUGGAGUAAUAGUAAAUAUUUUGUUGCCAUAGACGACAUAUGAGAACAGGUUAAAAGUGGUAUAUAGAGAAAAUAAUUUGGGUACAGAAUGAAACUGAUAAAGUGGGUACAUAAUGUGUAGGUUAUGGAGUACUCUACUGUACAAUUCUUAUAGUGGUCCCAAUAAAUACACUAUCUACAACAAAAAAUGGUGUUGAUGUUGAAUAAGAGAAUAUCAUAUUCCUUCUUUUGAGGUGAACAAGCCUACAUUUCUGGUGCACUCUUUUAAUUAUUUUCUAACUGAAAAGUGUAUUUUAAUGUUUUAUUUAUUUUGCAAUAUUUGAGUAAAUAACUUACUUAGACCUGUUUGGUAAGUGGUAAUAAACGGUGAUAAUUAAAAUAAAAUUAAUAUAAUUUUAGUUGAAAAAUCUCUUGGCUAUCUUGAUGGUCGUUCUUGUCCAACUUCAAUGAUCUCAUUUUCUUUAUA